UCCUACGGGAGGCAGCAGUGGGGAAUAUUGCACAAUGGGCGCAACCCUGAUGCAGCCAUGCCGCGUGUGUGAAGAAGGCCUUCGGGUUGUAAAGCACUUUCAGUUGUGAGGAAAAGUGAGUAGUUAAUACCUGCUCACCGUGACGUUAACAACAGAAGAAGCACCGGCUAACUCCGUGCCAGCAGCCGCGGUAAU
rnacentral:rRNA from 1 species